GAAGGAGUUAUACCUGAGACUCGGGCUCCAGCAGCAUGUGCGUAAACUCCGGGAGUUUGAUGACCACAGAGAUGCUGAUGAUGCAGUCUAUGAACUGAAUGGGAAAGAACUGUGCAGUGAGAGGAUCUGAAGGAUGAGGAAGGUUGGUGAAGUGACAUUUGUCGAUGCACACAGAUCCAACAAGAAUGAAGGAGUGGUGGAAUUUGCUUCACACAGCGAUAUGAAGAACACCCUUGAUAAACUAGACGGGACUGAGCUUAAUGGACGCAAACUCAAACUGACUGAAGAACACAAGAGGAAGGUAAAAAAGCCGCCCUACCCGAACCAAAGGAAGGGGCGCUGCACAAGCUCCUGCCUGGGGACUUGGUGAUCAUCAAAGACCUCCGCCGGAAGCAUUGGCAUCAACAACGCUGGACAGGUCCGUUCCAGGUGCAGACAGCGGCGAAAGUCACUGAACGAUCAACGUGGGUCCACGCCAGCCAUUGCAGAAAAGUGCCCUACAGCCCGGAGGGAGAUGUAUCGCCCCCUGGAAUAACGUAGACGGCUCGGAUGGCCUUGGGACAGUCAGCUUUGGACCCCCAGAGUCCUGACUUAUUUUUCUUGGCAGCAUAUUAACUGUGUCUCUCACCUGGCUCUUAACUGAACUUAAAGAUAAUUAAAAGAGCUAGAUAUUACAAACCGCAGCCACACUGAAAAUCACACAGAACUCAGAACAAAAAGAGAAAAAAAAAAUCUGCAAGCGGGAUACGUUGGGUUGUCACUUUGUUCAUAUUACACUAUAUGUUAAACUUUGUAAACCUUGCUUAACUUAUAGUAAUAUGUGUUUGCUUGGGUAUACAAUGUGUUAAAAAUUGUUUUGUUAAAACUACUAAUGCAGUACUUAACUUACCACUCUAAAUGCCUGUAGAAAACCAUGAUAAUCCAUUUUCUGAAAUCAUAUUGUAAUGUUGAGACAUAGUCUCAAAAGGGGGGGAAUGUAAGAGAAAUAUUAUAGAAAAUUGGAUUUGCCUGCCAUGGAAGAGUACUGUAAUCUUGCUCCCAUAACCUUGUACGCUUUGCUUAAGAUAAAGUUUUGCCUACAUUGCAGCUGUGAGACAAUGGAUAAUAAGAUGAGCCAGACUUAUC